rfam:Brenneria sp. EniD312 chromosome, whole genome shotgun sequence.
UUUUCCGUGCUGAUUUGCAGUUAAACAAGGGAAAUUGCGGAAUUAUUAAGUUUGCCUGAUGACGCAGACACGCAGCAAUGGCGUAAGACGUAAUGUGAUAUCAAGCAGUUAGCGGGCUGCGGAUUGCAGCUUGGCCGGCAAAUGGAAUCAGAUCUGGCGACAUUAUUCAGAAGCUGUUCCCUCAGUAAACGCGCUGUUUUCCAUCAGGAAAUACAGGCUACCGAAAAAUGCGCCUCCAUGCAGGCGACAACCGGGAGGUUGACGUCCCUGCGAUAAGCCACGAGGCCAUCGGUUCACUCCGGUCAUGCGGUUCUUUUGUCCGCAGCUCUAUCAAUAA